rnacentral:rRNA from 1 species
UACGAAGGGGGCUAGCGUUGUUCGGAUUUACUGGGCGUAAAGCGCACGUAGGCGGGUCGUUAAGUCGGGGGUGAAAUCCUGGAGCUCAACUCCAGAACUGCCUUCGAUACUGGCGAUCUUGAGUCCGGAAGAGGUGAGUGGAACUCCUAGUGUAGAGGUGGAAUUCGUAGAUAUUAGGAAGAACACCAGUGGCGAAGGCGGCUCACUGGUCCGGUACUGACGCUGAGGUGCGAAAGCGUGGGGAGCAAACAGG